AUCGAUCGCUCGAUAAUCUCGCCUGCUGCUCUGAUCUAGCGUUUCUUACCCCGGCCGUUCCCCGAACCCCUUCUCCUGAUCUCCCGUGUCAAGCGCUGUUAACCCAAGCUGAUCGACAUGAGGCUUAUUUUUAAGACAAUGAUCGACGCUGGCAUGCCGCAGCAACCACAUCCACGUGCAAGCACACAACGCGGCCGGGCCGAUCCAUGAUGAUGCUAGGCCGCCGAUACACUACAAUUUCUUCUCAAUCUUCAUCAAUUGAUCAAUCGUCCUUUCGCAAAGUACAAGUGAUCCCACUUAUGUUAUGGUACAUGUCCUUAUCUGUCUGUUAUUUUUCUAAAUUAUUUUGUAAUGAUUGUUCUCAAUUAUUUUAUGAAUCUAUAGCUAGUAGUAGUUUUUAGCCAUUAAACUUUUAUUUGAGUAUUCCUGCAGAAAUAAAUCCUUAUUUGCGUAGGUAUUUCCUACUUAGACAUUUAUCCAUGUCGCAUGUUUGAAUUCUACUCCCUCCGUUCCUAAAUAUAAGUCUUUAAAGAAAUUUCACUAGAUGACUACAUAUGAAACAAAAUGAAUGAAUCUACACUUUAAAAUAUGUCUAUAUACAUAGAUGUAGUCCUUUAGUAGAAUCCCUAGAAAGACUUAUAUUUAGGAACGGAGGGAGUAUUUGUCAAAAUGCAGGUAUACUGUCUAUCUAAAAAAAAUGUAGGUACACUGCAGAUAAGAGUUUCCUCAAAAUGAAAUUACCGUUAAUUUUUUGAAAAUUGCAAGACACAAUUUAAAUAUUCAUAUUUUAUAGUAAGCAUUUUACUGAUAUUUUUUUACUUACACGUACUCUUAUAUUUUCUCAGCUCAAAUAUGUACGCUAGCAGUUGAGAAAUACAUUUUAUUUUGUAAAACUCUGUUUGAAAAUUUUAUGUCAUACUAGUAAAAGUGCUCGUGCAUUGCACCGGGUUAGAUUGUUGAUAUUUGGAUCAUGAAUUUUGUAUUUGAAAAGUCCCGCCCUCAUUCUUUGUCGACAUCUACUCCAGCUCUGCACCUUCGUGGAAGUGCAAGUAGAGAUUCAAACAUAUGAACUUUCGUACAAAUGGAGUGAAACUUCACGCAGAUUGGUCAUAUAGUUACCACAAGACCAUCAUCAUAGUUUUACUUAUUUAAUCUCUGCAAACAGCAUUAUUAUUUAAUCUCUGCAAACAACAUGAAGGAAAAAAGGUGGGGGAAACUCUCAAAAAAAAAAUCGGCUCUGUCAUAGCCAAAGGCCCCGAACCGAUCCAGGUUAUAGUUCUGUCUUUUAAAUGAGCAAACUUAGCUAAGCUAUCACUAAUCUUAUUUUGACUACGAUUGAUAUGAGUAAUAUGAUUCAUCCAAAAGAGUAGUUGGAACUUUGAUUUAAUUUUCACAAACACCUUGCAAAAAUGAUAGUGAUACGCCAAAAAUUCAUUUCGCUCGCCUGGUUAGCACAGACAGAGUUUGCUGACUUAGACAACUGACAAGAUCUGGGCAUGGAAUAAGGAUCAUGAAAACUUGGAAAAUCAAAAAUCUGCAUACAUCUUUUUUUAUUUGAGAAAGGCAUGCAUCAUUUCAAAGUCUCUGAUUCAACACGCACCAGUAAAUAUAGUAACUACCAGCUGGAGUCGUCAUUACAUAAAUGAUGUUAUAACCUCCAUCAGCUACAGAUUACAAUGGAACACACCAAAGGGUACAGGUUGCCAUCAGCAUGAAUGUGCCAAGGUAUUUCUCUUUUUUGGGAGCACAAAUAUUCAGUAAGUACAAUGGGCUCCAUUAACCUCGCAUCUCCUGAUUAUGCAUAGCAGAAUGGUCAUAGAAGCUGAAUGUCGAUAUACAGAUAUUUUGACCAUAGAAGCUCAAUCAUCACACAACAGCCAGAGGAUUAUAUUUAUGCAAGAGAGAUACGUGCAUCAUCAACUGAAAAUGCUGCAGGGUGAAAACAAAGGUCAAGUGUAUUACACAGCCCUGAGCUUUGGCACGUUACGAUUAUAUCUGCAUCUUACUUCAUAUUUGCUGCUCCUUCGCUCUCUUACGAGCCAGUGCUCGUUCUCUAGCAGCAGCAAGUGCAUCAUUACUCCUCUUAUAGUGCUCGUCAGUGAUUGGCGCUGGUUGAGCAUUCUGGAGAGCUUGUGAAGCAGAUGUGGAAACAUCUGCCUCUUUCUCAAUAGAUCUAGCAACUGUUUAAUCGUUUGAUCCAGUAGUUGCAGGUUCUACCACACUUCUACUUUCAUGAGCCUUGUCUGAUCCUUCACUGGAUUCCCUCCUGUGCUUAGGAGAAUGACCGGAUCCUUCGGCAUCAGACUUGCUAGGUUGAACAUCUUCUCCUUUAUUUUCCAACUUUUCACGUUCUGCAAUUUCUGUAUUGUCAUGUGUCCGUGCACCCAAAGCAACAUUCUUAGCAAGCCCAAAGUAAAAAGCAUUCAAGUCUUUCUUUUUAGUUACCUACAUAAAAACAGAUAACAAAAUUCAAAUCAGUUAGCCAAAAGAGAAGAUAACUGUUAAACAUUAGAUAUAUGUUUCCUUUGCAAGGCAGACAAACUUGUGCACAAACAAGCCAGAAAAAAGGGGAAAAGAAAAGAAAUAGAAAAGGAAGACCAGAAGGGAUCUGGCGAGGGGGCACCGGAGUUGAUGCGGGCGGCGAGGGCGAGGAAUGCGCGGGCCUCGCCGUCAGUGCGGUAGAGCGAGCCGUUGAGCGGCCUGAGCUCGAGCGUCGAUAUGAAGGGCCGGCCGGUGGUGGCGUUGGAGAGGCAGACGGAGACGGUGGAGGACUGGGCCAGGACGACGGCCUCCCUGGUGAGCCGGCGCCAAAGGACCCCAUCCUCGGCGUCACCGAGGCCUUCCUCACCGACCCCAUGGCCGGGAGAGACCCACCUCGACGCGUCCGGCCGGAGGUGGAGGAGGUGGCUGGUGGCGACGUGGUGGCCGGGUGCUAGGAGGAGCCGGUCGGUGGAGAGGAGGGGCAGGGGGGCGGAGGAGGCCCUGUCUCUUAUANNNNNNNNNNNNNNNNNNNNNNNNNNNNNNNNNNNNNNNNNNNNNNNNNNNNNNNNNNNNNNNNNNNNNNNNNNNNNNNNNNNNNNNNNNNNNNNNNNNNNNNNNNNNNNNNNNNNNNNNNNNNNNNNNNNNNNNNNNNNNNNNNNNNNNNNNNNNNNNNNNNNNNNNNNNNNNNNNNNNNNNNNNNNNNNNNNNNNNNNNNNNNNNNNNNNNNNNNNNNNNNNNNNNNNNNNNNNNNNNNNNNNNNNNNNNNNNNNNNNNNNNNNNNNNNNNNNNNNNNNNNNNNNNNNNNNNNNNNNNNNNNNNNNNNNNNNNNNNNNNNNNNNNNNNNNNNNNNNNNNNNNNNNNNNNNNNNNNNNNNNNNNNNNNNNNNNNNNGGAUCCGAUCAGGGGGCGAGGGGCUGCCCUGCGGCGGUGGGGCGGAUCUGAUCAGGGGGCGAGGGGCUGCCCUGCGGCGGUGGGGCGGAUCCGAUCCGGGGCGAGGGGCUUUCUUGCAAAUCUGAAACGUUUUUCCACUUAAUCAGGGACUGUGGGUUGAAUGCUCGAAAACGGAGGGACUUUUUCGCAAAAAAGCCACGACGGACGGCAGAAGCGCUCCGCGCUUUAUUAUUAGGGGAGACUAUAGUGGUGCAUCAGGGUAAUCUUAGGUCCAGCUCCACCCCUGCCUGCUUCGUCUCGCUGCCCUGCACUGCUUCUCCCCUGCUAUGCUUCUCCCUUCUCUACAUCAAGCUGCAUUUUAUAUUGAUAUUCAAUGGGUGAGAAUACCCGAGGACGAGCAUGAACCAUGAACAUCAUAUGAACUGGCGAGAAAUUUAAUUAAAUGGUGUUGAGUAGCAAAUGUAUGUGAUACGUCCAAAUUCAUCACUAUUUUGUAUCAUAUUUGUCUUUAUUCAUUAAUAUAUUUCACAUUAUGAUGAUGUAUUUAUAGUGUUUUGGUUUAUUUUACAUAGUUUACAACUUUGCCGAGACAACAAACGUAGGAUUGAGCGAAGAAAAUAACACGAAGAGUUACCAUAUUAGAAUAUCUCCAACUGCGCUGAAAUUUUGAGGGAAGGAGUUUUCCGAACAGAUCAUGAAGAUAGGCCGGAGGGGGGCCACAGGUCACCCAGGCGACCUGCUGGCGCGGGCCACCCCUAGGCCGCGCCCAGAGGCCACCUGGGUGGUGGGUCCCGCCUCCGACACUCUCCUUUGGCCUAUAUCAUCCCCUUGACCUAAAAGUUACGGGGAUAUAAGUUUUUUCGGAGUUCCGCCGCCGCUCCGGUGCGAAAACCUACAGAGAAGAAAAGACCUUUCUGGCGGGCAGUUUCCGCCGGGGAGAACUCCUCCUGGAGGGGGAGAUCGUCCUCAUCGUCAUCACCAUCGUCACGGGCAUCAUCGAGAUCAUCAUCUGUUGGGGAAGGGAAACAAAAAAUUUCCUACGCACACGAAGACCUAUCAUGGUGAUGAUCAUCUACGAGAGGGAGAUGGGAUCCACAUAUGCUUGUAGAUCGCUAGGGGAAGCGUUAAUAAACACGGUUGAUGUAGUGGUACGUCUUCACGAUCCGUCCCCCGAACCGUCCCACGAUCCAUCCCACGAACUGUCUCAUGAUCCGUCCCACGAUCCGUCCCGAUCAAGUGUCGAACGGACGGCACCUCCGCAUUCCGCACACGUACAGCUCGAUGACGAUCUCCGCCUUCUUGAUCCAGCAAAAGGGGCUGGGAAAUAGAUGAGUUAUCCAGCAGCGUGACGGUGCGCCGGUGAUGGUGAUGAUCUAUUCCUGCAGGGCUCCACCCGAGCUCCGCAGAAAACCGAUCUAGAGGAAGAACUAUGAUCUAGAGGAGAGGGCAGCACGUGGCAAAGUUGUGUGUCUCAAAAACCCUCAAUACCUCUAGUAUAUAUAGGAGGGUGGAGGGGAGGAGGCAGCCUCAAACCCUCAAGGUUUGGCCGAAAUUGGAGGUGGAGGAGUCCUACUCCAAUCCUACUAGGAGUAGGAUUCCUUCUUUCCACAUGGAAACCCUUUCCGCCUUUUUCACCUUUGGAUUUUUGCCUCUCAAACCUCACGGGCCUUAGUGGGAGCUCAUGUUAUCCCACUAGGGGCUGGUUUGUAUCCUCCCACAGCCCAUAAGGCCCCUCGGGGCGUGACACCCCUCACGAUGGUCCCCGGUACCCUUCCGGCACUCCCAGUACACUACCGAUGAGCCCGAAGCUUUUCCGGUGACCAAAAUAGGACUUCCUAUAUAUCAAUCUUUACCUCCGGACCAUUUCGAAGCUCCUCGUGACGUCCGGGAUCUCAUCCCGGAGAUCGAAUAACUUUUUGUUACCAACACCUAUAACUCAACUAUACCGAAACGUCACCGAACCUUAAGUGUGCAGACCCUACGGGUUCGAGAAUUAUGCACACAUGACCUAAGACAUUCUCCGUUCAAUAACCAAUAGCUGGACCUAGAUGUCCGUAUUGUAUCCUACAUAUUCUACGAAGAUCUCUAUCGGUAGAACCUCUAUGUCAAGGAUUCAGUUAAUCCCGUAUGUUGUUUCCUUUGUCCUUUGGUAUGUUACUUGCCCGAGAUUCGAUCGUCGGUAUCUCCAUACCUAGUUCAAUCUCGUUACCAGCAAGUCUCUUUACUCGUUCCGUAAUACAAGAUCCCGUAACUAACUCCUUAGUCACAUUGCUUGCAAGGCUUGUUGUGAUGUUGUAUUACCGAGUGGGCCCCGAGAUACCUCUCCGUCACACGGAGUGACAAAUCCCAGUCUUGAUCCAUGCCAAACCAACAGACACCUUUGGAGAUACCUGUAGAGCACCUUUAUAGUCACCCAAUAACGUUGCAACGUUUGAUACACACAAUGUAUUCCUCCGGUGUCCGGUAGUUGCAUGAUCUCAUGGUCAUAGGAACACAUACAUUGACAUGCAGAAAAACAGUAGCAAUAAACUGACACAAUCAUAAGCUACAUUUAUAGUUUGGGUCUUGUCCAUCACAUCAUUCUCCUAAUGAUGUGAUUCCGUUAUCAAGUGACUACACUUGCCUAUAUGGCCAGGAAACCUUGAUCAUCUUUGAUCAACGAGCUAGUCAACUAGAGGCUCACUAGGGACAGUGUGUUGUCUAUGUAUCCACACAUGUAUUUGAGUUUCCAAUCAAUACAAAUAUAGGAUGGAUAAUAAACGAUUAUCAUGAACAAGGAAAUAUAAUAAUAACCAAUUUAUUAUUGCCUCUAGGGCAUAUUUCAAACAAUCUCCCACUUGCACUAGAGUCAAUAGUCUACUUCACAUCACUGUGUGAUUGUAAUGAAUCUAACACCCAUACAGUUCUGGGGUUCGAUCAUGUCUUGCUUGUGAGAGAGGUUUUUAGUCAAGUUCAGAUCCGUGUGUGCUUUACAAAUCUCUAUGUCAUUCUAUGCUGCUACUACGUGCCAUUUGGAACUAUUCCAAAUGACUGCUCCACUAUACGAAUCCGGUUUACUACUCAGAGUUAUUCGGAUUAGUGUCAAAGCUUGCAUCGACGUAACCUUUACAACGAACUCUUUAAUCACCUCCACAAUCGAGAAAAAUACCUUAGUCCACUAGUUACUAAGGAUAAAUUUGACCUUGUUCAGUGAUUCAAUCCUGGAUCACUUUUUGCACCUCUUGACAGACUCAUGACAAGGCACACAUCAGGUGCUACACAACAUGGCAUAGUUUAGAGCCUAUGGCUAAGGCAUAGGGGACGACCUUCGUCCUUUCUCUUUCUUCUGUCGUGGUCGGGGUUUGGGUCUUACUCAAAUUCACACCUAACAACACAACCAAGAACUCCUUCUUUGUUGUUCUAUUUUGAACUCCUUCAAAAACUUGUCAAGGCAUGCAUUUCAUUGAAAGUUCUAUUUAGCGUUUUGAUCUAUCUCUAUAGAUCUUGAUGCUCAAUAUUCAAGUAGCUCCAUCCAGGUUUUACUUUGAAAAACCCAUUUCAAACAACCCUUUAUGCUUUCCAGAAAUUCUAUAUUACUUCCAAUCAACAAUAUGUCAACCACAUAUCCUUAUCAGAAAUUCUAUAGUGCUCCCGCUCACUUCUUCGGAAAUACAAGUUUCUCAUAAACCUUGUAUAAACCCAAAAGCUUUGAUCAUCUCAUCAAAGCGUAUAUUCCAACUCCGAGAUGCUUGCAUCAGUCCAAAAGUUUUCAGAGAAGGUGCGGAUGGGAUCGUGAGGAGAUGCAUACCGGAGUAUGAGCAGAAGGAUAUCUUGAGACAAUGUCAUAACAAGGUUCUCCAGUCAGGUUUUUAUUGGCCUACUCUCGUUAAAGACGCUAGAAAUUAUGUUUUAUCUUGUGAUAAGUGCGAGAGAGUUGGUAAUAUUAGUAGGAGAAAUGAGAUGCCUAUGAAUUAUUCUCUAGUCAUUGAGCCCUUUGAUUGCUGGGGUUUUGAUUUUAUGGGUCCUUUUCCUCCUUCACACAAAUACACUCACAUCUUUGUGGCUAUUGAUUAUGUGACCAAGUGGAUUGAAGCAAUCCCCACUGAAAGUGCUGAUCACAAGACAUCUUUGAAAAUGCUCAAGGAUGCAAUCUUCCCUAGGUUUGGUGUACCUAGGUACCUCAUGACUGAUGGAGGAUCGCAUUUUACACAUGGUGCUUUUAGAAAAGCUCUAGCCAAAUAUGAUGUUAAUCAUAGAAUUGCUUCACCUUACCACUCUCAAACAAGUGGGCAAGCUGAGCUCACAAAAAGAGAGAUCAAGUUGAUUUUACAAAAGACAUUGAACAGUUCUAGAAAGGACUGGUCCAAAAAGCUAGGAGAUGCCUUGUGGGCGUACAAAACUACUUACAAAAAUCCCAUGGGGAUGUCUCCAUAUAAGAUGGUCUAUGGCAAGGCAUGUGAUACGUCCAAAAUGCAUCACUAUUUUGUAUCAUAAUUUGUCUCUAUUCAUUGAUAUAUUUCACUUUAUGAUGAUGUACUUAUAGUGUUUUGGCUUAUUUUACAUAGUUUACAACUUUC
rnacentral:lncRNA from 1 species